rnacentral:rRNA from 1 species
CGCACGGGUGCGUAACGCGUGGGAAUCUACCCCUUGGUUCGGAAUAACAGUUGGAAACGACUGCUAAUACCGGAUGAUGACGUAAGUCCAAAGAUUUAUCGCCGAGGGAUGAGCCCGCGUAGGAUUAGGUAGUUGGUGUGGUAAAGGCGCACCAAGCCGACGAUCCUUAGCUGGUCUGAGAGGAUGAUCAGCCACACUGGGACUGAGACACGGCCCAGACUCCUACGGGAGGCAGCAGUGGGGAAUAUUGGACAAUGGGCGCAAGCCUGAUCCAGCAAUGCCGCGUGAGUGAUGAAGGCCUUAGGGUUGUAAAGCUC